UGUGAACAUUCGCUGUUCUUGUUUCCUGUCAAUUCCAUCCAUUUCUCCAGCAUAUUUUUUGCUCACUUCAAGAGGACAGAGCAGCCCCACCCCAGCUGCCUCCUGUCAGCUCACAGCCUGAAACAACAGAAUCAACUCUGAACUCAUGUCACAAACAAGAAGCCACAGCCCACCAGGUGGCUGAUGGAAAUGGCAGAGGGCUCAGCUUUCAUGAGAAUUGAAGGUGGGACAGCAAGUUUUCUCUAUGAGUAACUGUGGUAUGUGGAUGUUUUACAACCUUAGAGAAAAUGAGGCUGCUGUAUAUACUUUGCUACUACCUAGGUAAGUGGUUUCCUGGCCUGGCCUUCACUAUGAAGCAUGAUUUGUACUAGUUGUCAAUAUAAUUCCCCAGAUUUGCCUGAAAACACUCUGGACUGUGUCCUCCCAACCUUCAGCUUUCAUUCAGCUUCGUUUCUGAGAUGAAGCCAUUGGUGAUGUUCCUGCUCAGUUAUGGUUCUGUUUUUGUUCAGUGUGGCCGUGGCAAAUGGUUACACAUUUUCCGU
rnacentral:lncRNA from 1 species